UAACGAAACAUUCGUGCGAAAAUGAAAGUAUGUGGGUUUAAGGGAUUUUUUUCUCUCAUUGACUCCUCCCCUUGUCCUUACUGUUAAGGUUGCUGACUGAAGGGCCAGCUGUAGACCCAGGUUCCUGCCAGGGUUCAGGACCCAGUGGUUACUGGUGGCUGUCACGUCAAACACCAACCAGCCCUCCUCGGCUGCCCAGAUCACCCGUGAGUCCAACAGAAACAAGUCCGACUCCCUGAAGGAGCACAAAUUCACAAUUUCACACUUAAAGUCAGAUAUGGACAAAGAGUUUCACCAUGAGCACACUGACACACAGCUCAGCAGAAUGGAGAGACAGACAGCAGAGAGAGCUGACGAUGGCUGCCCCGUGCAUGAAAGCGUUGUGAGUAAAAACAGCUGUGUGACAGCAGACAUAAAACAAAAGAUUGGCUCGGGUCAAUAAAGCUCAAUAUGGCCAAUACUGAUCAGUUAAAAAAUUCCUUGAUUGGUGCCGAUACCAAUCUUUUAGAUUGGUUCGUGACAUCCCUAAAUUAUGUGUUAAUUGUUAUUAAUUAUGAUUACUACUUAUUUAAAGCUUUAUAUUUUUUAAAGGCCCAACUGGGAAGGGCAUUGGAUUCAGCUUAGGCUAUAAAUGCUGUGGUGUGUGGCAUUUGAUGGCUGAAUUCCAUUUGGCUACUUUAGUUUUGGGGUCCUGGCAUUGUGCAUCCUGGGUCAUCGCUUACUCGGACACUCGAAUAGAACGGAGCCAUUGUUAAUGUUAUUAGUAUUACCAGUGUUUUUCCUGUUAAGAGAAAUGAAAAUGCCCACAAACACAUAACCAGAUACCCAUGCUCACCUAUCAGAGUGUUCCUCCAACACCUGGUAGACGCUGAUGCGGAAGGUCUCAUUAUCAUAACGUUCAUGGAUGAAGUCUUUAUAUAUACGAAACUCAGCAGCAGUGACCGCCUCACCCUCUGGGAUCCGUGAUAGAUCAAAUCUGAACUCUCUGUGAUGCCGCCGCACUGGUAGGAAUUCCUUAUCAUGCUCCACUGCAAAAAAGAAAAUUAAAUAAAAAUGAAACAUAAAAAGUAUGACAGUGUAUGUUUGCAGAUCAUGUUGCUUCUUUUCAUGAUCUCUUUUGUUUCCCCCCUUUACUGCUGUCCCAGUCCAGCUCCACCAACAGACUCAAAAACUCUUUCGUCCCCCUGGCAAUCAGACUGUACAACACCUCUCAGUAAAGGCAGGGAGGACAAUAGAUAAUAGACAAUGGACAAUUUCUACCUCCAUUUGCACUAUUUUACUUCCAUUGGCACUCCACUCCAUUUGCACUGUUUACUGUUUGCACUGUUUACUGUAGCCACUGUUAAUUUUAUAUAUAUAUAUAUAUAAUAUUUUAUAUUUUUAUCUUUUAUUUUAAAUUCUAUUCUUAAGGUUAGGGUUUUUAAUUUUAGUUUAAUGUAUGUUUAAUGUAUGAAAUGUAUGUUUAGCAUUUUGUAUGCUACUGGAUACUUGAAUUUCCCUUGGGAUAAAUAAAGUAUCUAUCUAUCUAUCUAUCUAUCUAUCUAUCUAUCUAUCUAUCUAUCUAUCUAUCUAUCUAUCUAUCUAUCUAUCUAUCUAUCUAUCUAUCUAUCUAUCUAUCUAUCUUUACCAACAGGGAUACAAAAUGUGUGCUGCAAGACAAAGAGGGGUAUCGUAUAAAACAAAAAACACUUCAUGUGGUACUGAGCUGCUCUUAUAGAGAAACAAAACAUGUUUGCAAAAGAGGUAGAGAGAGCAAAUAUCUUUUUCUCUCAAUUUAUUCUUUCUCCACAGUCCAUCAACCUCAGUUGUUAGCAAGAAGCUGACACAGCUUUUCAGACUCUGGCUCAGUUCCAGAUUAAAAACAUCUAUAGAUAUGCAGUACACAUGUUGGUUUAUGAUCGAAACAUUUAUGAGGACUAGCACUAGGAGCAAUGCAUCUGGCACACACUGAGCCAAUGAUAGAGAGAUGCAGGCGGACUCUGACAGCUUUAUGAGCCCCUUUCUUCUCCCUCUCUUCCUCUAAUAGCUCCAGAGAGUCAUCCAGUCUGCCCUUCAUCUGGUUCUCAUGAGUUGGGGCUCCAUGUUUGGCGUACCCCAUCCUCAUCCCAGCUCCCGCUCUCCACCUCCUCCCUGCACCCCCAAGAUGUGGCCCCCUUGACCCUGCUCCUCUCAUGUCCCAGCAGGAUAUCCCAGGGGUCAGCGCCUUGUCUCUCAUCAUCUCUUGGCUCUCCCUCCACCUCUCUUCAUCAACUGUCAGACAGACCCCCCACACGUACAUGCAUCCAUAGAUAUACAAAUAAAUACAUAAAGACACGCACAACAUAAACACACUCAGUGAUUUCUAACCUAGCAAAAACCAUGUCUAUGUCCAUGUCUAACCCCUGUCUAUAUAGUUUAGUGCUGGUUGCUGAAACAAUUAAUUUAUUCAGUGAAUAAAAGGCCCAAAAUUAGUUUGGACGAAUCAAUAGGUCAAACCAAAGUCAACAUCAGUGUGGCUUUUCAACAAUGGCGAGAACCAAGGGAUUGAGGGUUUGUGGGGAAUUUAUUAUUUUCCUGAACUAUGUGAAAUAUGUAUGAAUGACACAUGAGGUAGUUGGAUACGGUUAGUGAUGACAACUCUGCACUGUGCUCCUCUCAGGCACUGCGUGUUCAUGUGUGUUAGGUGAGCGGCUUUGGAAGGAGACCUGAGGGUAGGGGGUAGGAUUUUUUUGGUUGGAUACUUUCAAAAUUUAGCUGUCUCUUGCUAGUUUCUCCAACAUUACCUAGCCAAGCUUCAAUUUCCAAUAGUUGUUGAGAUGUUUCACUCAAACCACAACUGUGAACCUCACGGUGGUGCUAGAGGGAAAGUCAAGGGAAUCCAUCUAACAUAUUUCAGUCUCGACCAAAGUGGUGGACGGACUAAGUGACCAACAGACCAACGGAGACAUCCCUAGGGCCAGCAUGGCUAAACAUAAUUAACCAAUCAAUCAAUAAUGAAAAAUAAUUGUAAAAAAAACAGUACUAAUAAAGUUAUAUAACAACCA